GUCGAGAAUCUUCCGCAAUGCGCGAAAGCGUGACGGAGCGACACCGCGUGAUGGAUGAAGUCCUUCGGGGCGUAAACAUCUUUUAUAAAGGAGGAAAUUUUUGACGUUACUUUAUGAAUAAGGGGCUCCCAAUCUCGUGCCAGCAGGAGCGGUAAUACGAGAGCCUCAAGCGUUAUCCGGAAUCAUUGGGCGUAAAGGGUGCGUAGGUGGUUUGAUUAGUCUCCCGUUAAAACUUCGAGCUUAACUCGAAAAGAGCGGGGGAAACGGUCAAACUAGAGUAUGUGAGAGGUGUGUGGAACUCAUGGUGUAGGGGUUAAAUCCGUUGAUAUCAUGGGGAACACCAAAAGCGAAGGCAGCACACUGGCACAUCACUGACACUGAGGCACGAAACCUAAGGUAGCGAAUGGGAUUAGAUACCCCGGUAGUCC
rnacentral:rRNA from 1 species